AGGGAAUAUUGCGCAAUGGAGGAAACUCUGACGCAGCGACGCCGCGUGAGCGAUGAAGGUCUUCGGAUCGUAAAGCUCUGUCCUCAGGGAAGAAGAAAGUGACGGUGCCUGAGGAGGAAGCCCCGGCUAACUACGUGCCAGCAGCCGCGGUAAUACGUAGGGGGCAAGCGUUGUCCGGAAUUAUUGGGCGUAAAGGGUGCGUAGGCGGCUUUUUAAGUCAGAUGUGAAAGACCACAGCUUAACUGUGGGGUUGCAUUUGAAACUGGAGAGCUUGAGUAUCGGAGAGGGUAGUGGAAUUCCUGGAGUAGCGGUGAGAUGCGUAGAUAUCAGGAGGAACACCAGUGGCGAAGGCGACUACCUGGACGAAAACUGACGCUGAGGCACGAAAGCUAGGGGAGCAAAC
rnacentral:rRNA from 1 species